GUACUAAUAGCUGAAUGGUUAAAGCGCCCAACUCAUAAUUGGUAAAUUUAUAGGUUCAACUUCAUUAAAUACA
rfam:Lupinus angustifolius cultivar Tanjil chromosome LG01, whole genome shotgun sequence.